rnacentral:rRNA from 1 species
GUCCAUGCCGUAAACGUUGGGCACUAGGUGUGGGGGACAUUCCACGUUUUCCGCGCCGUAGCUAACGCAUUAAGUGCCCCGCCUGGGGAGUACGGCCGCAAGGCUAAAACUCAAAGGAAUUGACGGGGGCCCCGCACAAGCGGCGGAGCAUGCGGAUUAAUUCGAUGCAACGCGAAGAACCUUACCAAGGCUUGACAUGAACCGGAACGGCGCAGAGAUGUGUCGGCCACUUGUGGCCGGUUUACAGGUGGUGCAUGGUUGUCGU